UGCUGAGAGGUUCCGCCCCCAGAGAGCAGCCCUGGCAGGGGGCAGACGCGGCCGCACGCCGCAGCUGUUGCUUUCGGGGGAUUCAGCGAGAGAAAGCGCCAGGGCACCUUUAAGAGGAAAAAAAUCCCCUCAACUCCCCGAUUUGCAUUUUCCAUUUGUGCCCCUCCUUUUUCGCAGUGAUGUCAGCCGGGGAGGACUUGCUGGCAGCACUGGGAAGCGGAGUUCAGACGGCGGCAGCAGAGCUGAGCCAUCCGAUGCUUUAGCACCCGGGUGCUGCUUCUCCGACACCCACAGCCUCUGCGCUUGCAGGGGCCAGCCGGACCGGACAGCUCCUGUGCACAAUUUCCAGUCUGUGUCAAAGAGGGGCAAACAAGGAUCCUCUGUCGUCUUUCCCUCAAAUAGACCUAACGUUCCUCUUUCUGUUUUAUGCCUAAAGAGAGAGAUUUGCUGGACUGCUCUUGCAGACGGGGAUUUAGUUAAAAGUCUCACAGCACAACUUAGCUUAACCAAGAGCAGCGUUGCGGACUGACAUUAAGGUGGUUCUUUUAAUGUGGAAUUGCAUUUGCCUUUUACAGCUGCAAAAACAUAAAGCCAAACUCAAAUCAAGACUUAGCUAAAAGUUAGGCUGCCUUUUUCUUCCACAAUUGUGUGCCCUCUGUGGAAAUCGUUCAUGCAUCUUUUGCUCUAGCCUGCAUGGGAAGGAGCAGCUUAUAUUUUGGAUCAAGGAUUUGCUGGUGUAAACUGGUCUAACUUCCAUGUGAUGGGGCAGCCUUCAUUACUCUAGACGCCUUGUUGAUGUGCUGAGGAGCCAAUGUAGCUUGACAUCUUUUGCAGCGAAGGCAAGGAAUUAAAGCUAUUCUUGGUGUUCUUCAGGAGGACUCAUUAGCCAUUCUGGAGAUGGACUUGCUGUCUGGAACCUACCUCUUGGCAGUCUUAUUAGCCUGCAUUGUAUUUCAGUCUGGUGCCCAAGAGAAGAAUUAUACUGUGAGGGAAGAACUGCCAGAAAAUGUCCUGAUUGGCAAUUUGCUAAAGGAUCUGAAUUUGACACUGGACCCGGAUGUGCCCCUUUCAUCACCUCUUCAGUUCAAGCUUGUGUAUAAGACUGGGGAUGUGCCAUUAGUUCGAGUGGAGGAAAACACUGGUGAAAUAUUCACGACUGCCAACCGCAUAGACCGGGAGAAGCUGUGCUCUGGCAUUUUUAGCGAAAACCGAUGCUUUUAUGAGGUGGAGGUUGCAGUUUUGCCUGAUGAAGUCUUCAGACUGGUCAAGAUCAGGUUCUUGAUAGAGGAUAUCAAUGACACAGUCAUUAACAUCUCCAUCCCUGAGAACACAGCCAUUAAUUCCCGCUACUCUGUCCCAUCUGCCAUUGACCCAGACAUUGGUGUGAAUGGCAUUCAGCAUUAUGAACUUCUUAAGGGCCAAAAUGUAUUUGGACUUGAUAUAAUUGAAACACCUGAGGGAGAUAAAUGGCCACAGCUGAUUGUCCAGCAGAUCCUGGACAGAGAGCAGAAAGACACAUAUGUGAUGAAGAUCAAAGUUGAAGAUGGCGGAACACCUCCUAGAUCCAGUACAGCCAUCCUACAAGUAACAGUUACUGAUGUGAAUGACAAUCGCCCAGUCUUCAAGGAAAAUGACAUUGAAGUCAGCGUUCCGGAAAAUGCUCCAGUGGGCACUUCGGUUUCUCAGCUCCACGCCACUGAUGCUGAUCUGGGCUCAAAUGCUCAGAUCCACUUCUUUUUCAGCAAUCAGAUCUCCAGUCUGGCCAAAAGGCUGUUUGCCUUAGAUAAUAGCACUGGCCUCAUCACGAUUAAGGAACCACUGGACAGGGAGGAGUCACCUGUACACAAGUUAACUGUUUUGGCAAGUGAUGGCAGCUCAACUCCAUCAAGAGCAACGGUGACAGUAAAUAUCACAGAUAUUAAUGAUAAUGUUCCAUCCAUAGACACAAGAUACAUCAUCAAUCCAGUGAAUGGGACUGUGCUCCUGUCUGAAAAAGCACCACUCAAUACAAAAAUUGCCCUGAUUACUGUAAUGGACAAAGAUGCUGAUCUGAAUGGAAAAGUAACUUGCUUCACAGACCAUGAUGUCCCUUUUAGGUUAAAGCCAGUGUUCGAUAAUCAGUUUCUAUUGGAGACGGCCACAUUUCUAGACUAUGAGGCUACACGAGAAUACGCUAUUAAAAUAGUGGCCUCUGAUUCAGGGAAACCUCCCUUAAAUCAGUCUGCAAUGCUGCUGAUCAAAAUCAAAGAUGAGAAUGACAAUGCCCCAGUUUUUACACAGCCUAUCAUUGGACUUUCCAUUCCUGAGAACAAUGCUCCUGGGACCCAGCUAACCAAGAUCAGUGCAACAGAUGCAGACAGUGGACGCAAUGCUGAGAUCAGCUAUAUGCUGGGUUCAGAUGCACCCCCCAUUUUUAACCUGGACCGCCGCACAGGUGUUCUGACAGCAGUGAGGAAGCUGGACAGGGAAAAACAGGAUAGGUACUCCUUCACUGUAUUGGCCAAGGAUAAUGGGAUGCCACCUUUGCAGACCAAUGCUACUGUGACACUGUCAGUUCUGGAUCAGAAUGACAACAGCCCUGCUUUUACCCACAAUGAAUAUAAUUUCUAUGUGCCAGAAAACCUGCCCAUGUAUGGCACAGUGGGACUUAUCACAGUUACUGAUGCUGACUCUGGAGAUAAUGCUGCAGUUACUCUCUCUAUAUUAAAUGGCAGAGAUAAUUUCAUUAUUGAUCCACUUACUGGUGUAAUAAGACCCAAUAUUACAUUUGAUAGAGAGCAACAAGGUUCUUACACUUUCCAGGUGAAGGCUGUCGAUGGAGGAAGAGUACAACGCUCUUCAACUGCCAAAGUGACCAUAAAUGUAGUUGACGUGAAUGACAACAGGCCUGUUUUUGUUAUCCCUUCGUCUAACUACUCCUAUGACUUGGUUCCCACAGCCACCAAUCCAGGUUCCGUGGUGACUAAAGUCUUUGCAGUUGACAAUGAUACAGGGAUGAAUGCAGAGCUCCGCUACAGUAUUAUAGGUGGGAACUCAAGAGGUUUGUUUACAAUCGAUCAGUUAACAGGCAACAUUACUUUGAAAGAGAAGGUAAUCACAGCAGAUCAUGGCUUACACAGGCUGGUGAUAAAAGUCAAUGAUUUAGGACAGCCAGAGUCUCUCUAUACCAUUGCACUGGUGCAUUUAUUUGUGAAUGAGACAAUCACCAAUGGUUCAUAUGUGCAGGAGCUAGUCCGUAGAAAUAUGGAAACACCAGUGGGCCAGAAUGUUGGGGAUGGUGAGAUAACCCCACAGACCAAUGACUACGUCAAAAUCAUCAUUGCUAUAAUUGCAGGCACCAUGACAGUCAUCCUGGUCAUUUUUGUCACUGCACUAGUACGAUGCCGCCAGACACCCCGACACAAAGUUGUCCAGAAAAGCAAGCAGAGUGGGGAGUGGGUCUCCCCAAACCAGGAGAACCGACAGAUCAAGAAAAAGAAGAAGAAGAAGAAGCGCUCUCCUAAAAGCCUCCUUCUCAACUUUGUGACAAUUGAAGAAUCUAAGCCCGACGAUCCUGGCCACGAGCACAUAAAUGGCACUUUAGACAUUCCCGUAGAGCUAGAAGAACAGACUAUGGGAAAAUAUAACUGGGCCACCACACCAACCACUUUUAAGCCUGACAGCCCAGAUUUAGCAAAGCAUUACAAGUCUGCCUCUCCACAGCCCACCUUUCAAAUUAAACCCGAGACCCCGGUGCCCCCUAAGAAGCACCAUGUCAUUCAGGAACUGCCUCUGGAUAACACCUUUGUGGUGGGCUGUGACUCGCUCUCCAAGUGCUCCUCCAGUAGUUCGGACCCUUAUAGUGUCUCCGAAUGCAGCUGUCAAGGUGGCUUCAAGACUCCAGGCUCCAUCCACACCAGACAGAAUUUUUGACAAUCACUGAUAGUGAUGGGCAGCCUACAGCAAUGUCCUUACCACUGGCUAGUCUCUUCUUGCUCUGAACGUCAUCGCAUCUGAUGUUAUGUACUGAAGUCGUACGUGUACACAAUGAUGUUAAGCCAGCAAACAUGAAAACAUGGAAAUAGCACGAGAAAGCCCUUUGUCCUGUCUCUGAUUGCCGAAGAAUUUUAUCGUCUGAUCUCCAGAGGGGUUUGGAAGUGCGCUGAACUGUUCAAGCUGCCCUACGGAAAGGUAUCCAGGGCAAGAUUUUUUUUUUUAAAGAAAGAAAAAAAGAAAGACAAAGAGACUUUAGUACGUUGUGCUAUAGUGUUCUAUAAUGUUGUUUUGCAAAGGAAAACAAAGUAAUAUGACCCAUCACUCUGUCUGAAUGAUGGUUAUGAUAAGAUAAAUUUAUUGUUUUUCUUACGUUGCUUGUAAACACAUUCUUGUUCAAGGACCUUUGUCCUUAUUUAUUUGUGUUGAAAAAAAUGGUUGUGUUUUUUUAAUGUCUAUAAAUAUUGAAAAAGGGAGCAAUAAAUUUUAUGCAUACAUUUAAAAAGAAAGAGAAUGUAAAGUUCUUUAUACUCCCUCCAUUUUUAAAAUCACGUACAUGUUAUCACUUUACUUAUAUCACCAUAAGCCAUUUGUGGAUUAAUUAUUAUUUAUAGUUAUUUCCAUAAGAUUUUUAAUACUGAUAUUGCUGCUAUGGACCUUAACUACAAAUGAUCAAACCAUUGCUGUUUAUUUCUAUACGCUCAAUAGGAUUAGUGGGAAAAUAACUACUUCCUGCUUUCUUAUUCACAAAACUACUAAAGUAAGCAUUCACCCUUCAAAGUUACUGGUGAGUGUUCACUUACUCUUAAACUAAACAUUAUUUUAUCUUAGGCUUACUGAAAUCUUGAUACCGUGUGUGUACUAGGUGCCAUAUGCUUAAUCUUUUCAAGUACGUUUGUUUAAAAAAAUUAAAAAGGCUUGCUCAUAGAAUGAUAAAGUAGAAAAUACCAUUAAUUUAAUUACACUUAAAAAUAUUGCAGCUUUAGCUAGCAAAAGGGAAAAAGUGCAGGCUGGUGUUGUUUGGAGCUAUUUAAUUAUUUUGGUUAACUUUAAUUUUCUAAAGUUAAAUUGCUUUACAUUAUGAUUUGUUGUUUAGCACAUCUGAUUUAGAAAACAGAAUUAGCCUAACACGUUCAGUUGCAACUUGGUUACUGGUUCUUGUAUAUUUAUUGCAUCACAUCAGAGGUAGUAAUGCUUAAAAAGGUGUGUGCCUCAUUUAACAAUUUUUGUGUGUCAUAUACAGUGACAAAAUUAUUAAGAAGCAGAAGGAGUAUAAAGAACUCUGUUUUCUGCACUUAUAUGGAAACUCAUAACAGUCGUUCACUAGAAUGACAUGGGGCAUAGUCUUUAAUUUCUAACUCAGCUGUAUACAAUAUGUGUAAUUUUCUUUAAAUGGAAAAAUAUUAAUUAUUCAUCAGUUAGACUAUCAAACGCUCAAAUGCUACUGUAUGUUUGAUGUAAAAGUAUUUAAAACAGGCUUGUACGUAAAUAUUUUCAUUGCCUCAGUUCUAGGAUUGAAGAGUAUCUACAAUGACGUUCCCUUCACAAUUGCUAUUUGGCUUUUUUUUUUAAAUGGCUAUUUGGCUAUGUUAGCUGUAAAAUAUAAUAAAUUUUAUUAAUAAUGAAAUAUGUAUUGUAAUUUAGCAUAUUGUAUUGCAUAAGCAUAGAAAUGACUGUUGUAGAUGAAUAUUUCAUUUGUUAUAAUGAAAUCUUUUUCCUGGGAAAAAGAUGAUUUAUUUACAAUACAGUUUCAUCAUUCAUAUUCACUGUCCUUUUGCAGUACUGAUUCUGCAAGUUAAAUGAGCAACAAGUUUCAACAGUAACGGUACUUAGUGAGUUUUCUUUCUGCAUCACAGUUUAGCCAUUUCUUUUGGCUUGUAGCCUGCAUUUCACAAAGUAGAAAUGGAGGGAAGUCUUUACGUUUUAUGUACUAAUAUGGAUGACAAUGGGUAUCAGUGAGAGAGUUUGGUCUAACAAAUGUGAUCAGCACCUUUUCUUAUAACUACUUUUUGCCUAAAUACCACAUAUUGUGGAUCAUUAAUAAAGGAAACACCCAACUGCUGAUGGUGUAAAGAACUGCUUCUGUACACACUACUGCAGUUCAGACAGGUUUCAGAAUACUUUUUUUGAAUCAAUUAGAAUCAUAGAAUCGCGGGGCUGGAAGAGACCUCAGGAGGUCAUUGAGUCCAACCCC